CCCGACUCCGUGAAGCUGGAUUCGCUAGUAAUCGCGCAUCAGCCAUGGCGCGGUGAAUACGUUCCCGGGCCUUGUACACACCGCCCGUCAAGCCAUGGAAGCCGGGAGUGCCUGAAGUAUGCAACCGCAAGGAGCGUCCUAAGGUAAAACCGGUGACUGGGGCUAAGUCGUAACAAGGUACC
rnacentral:rRNA from 1 species